UUGAGGAAGUUGAAAAAAGCAAAGGUCGUGAGCCACAGGAAGAAAGGAGGAAAGAAAAUCCCUCUGACUGUGUGCUUAACUCCUCUUCUACCAAGAUGCACUCGCCAGCUGAGACGAUUAACACCAAAAAUAAAUAAAUGGGAAUCACAAUCUCUCAGUCUAAUCAGCAACUUAUCCGAUUUCUUUAAAUAAAAGGGGGGGGGGAUUUUGUGUUUGCCCGAAUUCACAAGGAAAUAAGCUCAAUUUAUCAGAGUUAAAGAGCUGUUCUGCUCAUUAGAGAUUGAGAUAAAAAUCAAACCAAGAAGUCAGAACUUACUUUACAUCCUUUUUAGAAAAAAAGGAGGGGUGGGGGUUGGCGAUUCAGUGGUAGAAUACUUAAGUUGAAUGUGUGAAGUACUAGAUUAGUUUUUAACACUGCUUUCCUAAACUAUCAAACAGAUAGUACAUGGUUAACUAUAAGAUACAUGCUAAGAGCGUAGAGUAUAAGGUAUACAUUGUGGUUUAAUACAUGAUAAACAUGCAAUACACAUUCUGCUCAUUUUAUUGUGAAUCUGUGCAUGCCACACUUCUCCAGCACUGUGGCUAUAGAACAAAGUGGGUAGGAAAUGCUUUUGGGAUAAGGAAGACAAAUACAGGCAAUGGAAUCAGAAGGUUGGUAUAGCAAGGAACAAAUGGGAUGGGAAAAAGUUAGAAGAUUUGAAUUUGAGAUAUAGCUAACCACUCAUCCUGUAAUUACAGAAAAUCAUUAAGUCAUCUUAAGGCUCCAUGCUUCACACCUGCAAAACUGGAGGUUUAUUGUGAGGCGUUAAAUGAGCAAAUAUGCAUACAUGUCUGUAGAUAUGCACCUGACAAUUAUAAGUACUAAUUAUCAUUAUUGAUAAAAAGGCAUGCUGCGGUAUAGGCUGAUUUGUGCCUCCUUAUGUGUGUUAGACUUUAUGGGUGUUUAUAGUUCCCCAAAUGAGUUAAUAUGAAGAAAAAUGUUAAGCAAAUCAUAGUACGGAUGGAGAAAAGAUAGAAAUAGCAUGGCGAAGCCUUCCAUUUGGGGGAAUCUCUCUAGAUUUAAAUUUUUCUUAGUAGAAAGGGGAGAAGGAAUAGAAACAAAAUUCCCAUUGGUUUCUUAUUAAUGAAAGUAUUAUUUAAUGUAUAAUCUAUCUAUCUAUCUAUCUAACUAUCUAUCUAUCUAUCUAUCUAUCUUCAUCAUCAUCUAUCUGUCAUCUAUCUAUCUAUCUAUCUAUCCACCCACCACCUAUUACUCAUAAAUUUAUCUGUAGGUAUGCAUUUUGAGAGAGGUCUUUGCAUAUCCAGGCUGGUUUAGAACUUUUAUAUGUUGCUGAGGAAGAUCUUGAAUUUCUGAUCCUCCUGACUCCACCUCCUAAGUUAGAAGGUAUACACCAUCACCCUCUGUGUAUGUGGUUCUGAGGAUCAAACCCAGGGCUUUGUGCGUGCUGGAUAUUCUACCAACUGAGCUACACCUUUGAGCCUUAAAACAGAUAUUGUCUAAGCAGGUGUCUACCUAGUAAAUUGUAGGUAAAUGAAUUGCUUUUAUUUAAUUCUAACAUUAAAUCUAAAAUGAAGGUACUUAUAAGGCUUCCUUGUGUGUCAUGAUAAAGAACAUUUUUAGUGAAGUACUAUUUCCCAAUCCAGAUCUCUAAGUUCUAGCUGGAGGGACUUGGUGUGUUGAAACAACUGAAAAUGCAGCUCAAGACUUUCCAAAAUGUUCCUCUGGACCCAUGUGCUCUGUGGGUGAAGGUUACUCCACUAAGGGAGUGCCUUGGCAGUACUCUAGAGGCCCACUCAUAUGGCCACAAGAUACCUUAGCGGUGUCAUGUAUGCUAAUGUCUUCAUCUUAGUGAUGGGGAAGAACCAGAGAAUGGUGAUAAUUGGUGCCUGUAUACAUUACAGAUCCAGGACUGUUUUUGACCCCAGUGUCCAAGUUCAGAACUUUUCCUAAUCCCUAAAUGAAAGUACUUCAUGUCCAUCCUGAGUCACAUUUAUUUAACCCACUUUUAUUGAGGUGUUUAAGUGUACUAGUGCUAGUGGGAAUAUUGAGUAAAACACAGCUGGUAGCCAUAGAAAGCAUUAACUUUUCAGGACAAGGGUUGAGACAGAGGCCUUGGAUGUGAGUCUACUUUUAUGAGUGUUGCUUAUUUAAUCUUCCUCCUGGGGACGGAUUCUGUAUUUAUGAUAAUAUUUUAAUAUUUUGCAUUGAUCACUAUAAGCCCAGCCCACAAAACAUGUGUUUAUAAGGAAAAUAAUAUCAGUGCUGACAUGUGUUACUUUGGGGGACCUGAAAGCAGGCUAUUGUUUAAAAUGCUGGUCACCUUUGUUUUAGAAAGCAUCUACUUUCCAGUUGGUAGUCAAUUAUAUUAUUGGUAAAAAAUUGUUCUUUAAACCAUAGAUCACUUUGGCAUUUAGAAAUCAGGCUGCAGAAAUGUAGAGAAACAUCCUAGCUAUGACCACUCUCCUAACACCACAACACUAAGUCUCACAGGAUCAAAAGUCCAUCUCAGAAUUUUAAAGUUUUUCUUUUUGAAUAUUCCAUUUUAUUUUUGAGUUAGGCUCUUGUAAAAUCCAAACUGGUCUUAGAACACACACACACACACACACACACACACACACACACACACACACACAUAUAUCUGGAGAUGAUCUUAAAAAUUUGGUCCUCUGCCUACACCUCCAAGAUGUCUGGAUUGCAGUGGGUGCUACCAUACCUGGUUUUGAAUUACAUAGGCACAGAACUCAGGGUUUUAGGCAAGAACUCUAACAACUGAACUACAGCCCUGCAAAAUACAAUUUUUGAUUUUGGAUUUUUUUCAGAUAGAUUCUCACAGUAGCCCAGGCUAUCCUCCAACUCACAGGAUACUCUUGUUCAAGCCUCCUUGUGUCAUGAGAUCACAGACAUGAGCCACUAUGUCUGGAUGCAUUUCCAAUCUUGAAAUAGAUUCAGUCAUACAGAUACAGUGCAGAAGUACUACAAAAGUUUCCAUCUAGAGUCUACCUUGAUUGUCAGAAUGUGUACAUCUCCCACAAUUGCUUUUCCAGUCUCUCUCAUAGAUCACAUAAACAGAUUUUUCUUGAAUAAUUUGAGAAUAAAUAGUGGCUUAAAUAUAUUAUUCCUUUAUCCUUUGAAUACUUUAAUGUUUAUGUCUCCCAUGACCAAUGCACAGCCAUCGUAGUCAGGAAUUUAACAUCUGUUCAGUGCUAUCAUGUAGUCUAGAGAUGCUCUUCAAUUUCCCCAAGUUGUCCCAUGAAUUACUUUGCAGUAUCUUUGAAACUUCACAUUAGCUGUUUGAUGCCCUUCCCUGUGGUAUAGCAGCUCUUCUGUGAAUCAGAGUCUGCUCUUUCCAUAGCAGGGUUUCUUACCUAAUGCUUGAUCCUUUAAUACCCUCAUGGUGUGGUGACCCCCAACUGUAAAACUAUUUCAUUGCUACUUUGUAACUGCAAUUUUGCUACUGUUGUGAAUUGUAAUGUAAAAUAUCUUUAUUUUCUAAUGGCCUUAGGUAAGUCCUGUGAAAAGGUCACCCCCACAGGUUGAGAACCAUUGCUAUAUAGUUAGUUUAGGUUCUUUAGAUAAAUUAGCAUCUAGUUGCUUAGAUGGAUGGAGUACUCAUCUUUGAAUCAGACUAGUCAGAAUGUUGUCAAUGUGAGUCCCAUUUCCUUGUGUCUGUACUGAGCUUGGGGAUUUGCCUGACUAAUUUAUCCCUAAGACUGGAGAGUCAGCCCCCAUUCCCAGACUCCAAAUGUCCAGGAGAGAUUCCCCCCUGCAACGUAUUUGAUGGCAGCCUGUUUCUUUCUCUGGUCACAGGGAUGAGGGCUUCCCAUGUUCUCAUUAUGUGAAUUCCAGGAGACAAUACAGUGUUUAGGGGAGGGGCCAAGUCACUUCUUGACAUCAUGAAUUUUAUUGGAAUGAGCUACUAGGGAAAUAUUAGAGUAAAAUCUACUUUCAAUUCAACUUGGCUCAUCUUUUCCUACUGCUUUACUAAUCAAGCUAAUACUAAGUGUCCUCUAGGAAAGACAAAAUAAUCUUGGGUCCUGUUAAACUAGGGGAUAUAUUAAAUAAGAAGAUAGGACAGGUACAGGGUAUAUAUCUUAUUUGUAUACAGCAGCAGACAUUUUUGUUUGUUUUUUGUUUAUUUUUUCCAAAUAGGAAUUCUCUGUGUAGCCUUGUCUGUCCUGGAACUCACUCUGUAGACCACGCUAGCCUUGAACUCAUAGAUCCACCUGCCUAUGCCUCCCAAGUGCUGUGAUCAAAAGUGUGUGCCACCACUGCUCAGCAACAUUUUUUUUUUAAAUAGUGUGAUAAAACUACAAACUUUCUGUUAUCAGGUCUUCUUCCUCUUUCUCCCUUCCUUUCUUUCUAUUUUUUAUUUUUCUCCCUUCCCCCUCCUUCCUCUCUUCUUUUCCUCCCUCCUUCUUUCCCUCUGCUUUUUUACAAAGUGACCUAGCUAGCUUGGGAAUUCAACCUUGAGUCGAUUAGCCAGGCAAAUAAACAAAUACAGUAGGAUACAGAUGCAGGUGGAUAUGUCUGCAAGCACUUGUUUGGGUGAGAGGGGCUCUGAGCAUACCGGCUGGCCGUCUCCCAACAUUGACCAUCCUUCAAGUAUAGCUGACACCGUUUUGCCUCAAGCAAGGUCAGAGCACCAGGAACAGAAACAGAGGGCCAUUGUUCUCACAGAGGCACUGGCCAGUGGGCUCUGAUCUGCAGCUGUGUCUUGGCCUCCCAUGGUGGUAGCACUAAGCAGGGCCUUCUGAGGCAGCCAUCCGUCCUCUCUGGUUAGUCAUCUUCCUCCCACGAACCUGAUUUCUAGAGGGUGUCUUAUUUUGACUUUGGGGAAACUCUUCAAUCCUGAGACUAUGAGGACUCUAAAUCUUCUCUUUGUACAAAUUGCCUUUAAAUUAGAAGUUACUUGGCCUGUGGUGAGAAUGUUGCCUGGAACUAAAGGCUUCUCGAGAGUGAUGAUUGAUGACAGUCCAGUAAAGUCAGAGUGUGGAGCCAGGGCGUCACGCCAGCGCCAUCCCAAGCAGGAGUGUGGACAUAUUUACCCAAUGCAAAAAAAGUUUCUACAAAUUGGAAGAUUUUGCAGAGAUGACAUGUUUUUAAAAGCUUCCUGUACUAUUAGUCAAAAGAAAUGAAAAGCAAGCUUUAUUACGCCUAUGUUGAGAGAAACUUAUUACAUUUGAAUUUCGGCUUAGUUACACACAUUUUUUGCCCUGAUUGUAAAUGAAGUUCCAAUGGUUUAAGAUUUUAAGCAGUUCUAUACGUAAUCCAUUCUUGGGAAAAAAAUAAAUAUACCUUUAAAUGAAAAGUUCUUAAUUACCAAAAGAUUCUAUAAGGAAAACAAUCAGGGGGAAAUUUUGGUCAUUAUUUGUUCAUUUAUUUUUCUUAUUGAGUUAAUUUAAUUAUCAGCGAGACGCAAACAUUAGCUUCAGUGCGGGGCUUCUCACAUCUGUUAGUAAAGAUUUGAUUAGGGCUACACAAAUGUGCUAGAUUAAACUAUCUAGUUGGUGAAAUUCAAGCCACCUGGAUAUUUUAGCAACAUCAAUAAGAAUAAUUCUCUUUUUCCAAAUCAGUAAAUCCAAGCUAUAUUAAAAAGAAUUAAUUAAUGAGUGCCAGAUAGGCAAAGCAAACAUGUGACAAUGAGCUAGAUUAUCAAAGGUUUUGAGGGAGAUCCUUCUUAGCUUAUGUUUAGAUGUCAAAUUAUAUUACCAAAAACCAAACAAUCUGUUAAAAUGAUGCCUUAAUGCAAUAAGUCUCUCAUGGUGUUUUUAAACUUCUUAGACAUUCUUAGUAGAAAAGGGUUCUAUUUACAAAUAAUAACCAAACCAUAAGACAUUUGCCUCCACAUUUUACCUUAGUUAUUUCCAAGAGCUGUUAAUAUCAUUUAAAUCCUAACAAGAACAGAAAAGAAACUAUUAUGGAGUUCUGUUAAUGCAUUCUCUUGAACUUUGCCUUGGAGAAAGAACAUAGUAAAGAUAGAAGGAGUGGAUAGAUUAAUAUAUACAGAAAAGAAUUCUACAGCCAAAGGAACAGAAUUGUCAAGUAAAGAAAUAGUUACUACCUUACCAUUCUUAUUCUAUCCAUGGGCACAUAGUACAUAUUUUAGUUGAUGUGCACUAAUGAUUUCUGUUACAACUACUGAAUAUAUGACUUGUAGCCAUAGUGGAUAUGAUUGUGUUCCAAUAAAACGUUAUGUUCAAAAGUAUAGUGGAUUCGGCCCACUCACAGUAUCCUAAGGAUCCCUCGUGAAAUCCACAUUCUGUAUUUUAAGGAUCAGAAACCUUACGCCUCUUUUAGGAAAACCACUUACUUGCCCCAGGUUCGAUAGACAUCAAAUUCAAAUGUAAUCGGUUGAGCUGCAGCUGAAUCUGGCCCUUCCAGUAUCCAGGCGAGCAUUCAUCCUAGGAUGAAUUAAUUAUAAUGACAUGUGGAUGGUUGGCUCCCUCCAAAUGUAAGCUCUGCCUUCCUUGUAAAGCACAUCUGAAAUGCUUCGUGCAUUUGAUGUGGACAGGACUGGGAUGUGUAGAUGAUUCCCGGAAUCUCCAGAGAAUAAGAUGCUUUUCAGGGACCUAAGCAGAAUCACAAAUAAUAAUUUUGGGGAAAGAAACACGAACAUCCUGACAGCUAACCAAGCAUGAAAAUGUUUGACUGCAAAGCCACACAUGGCUUGCUUUAUUAAAGACCAUCUCAGUCCUGGAAAAGUGCGCUUCUAUUGAAUAUUUAUAACAAAUAUGAUUGAAUAAGAAGAAUUUAAAGUGGGAAAAAAAAGCCCUGUGUGUUGGGACUCUAAAUUAAAUCUUAUUUUCAUGGUUGACAGUGUUUUGUAUUCCCCAGGUUUGCUUUAUAUAAAGAACCAUCCUUACCCAUUCCAUCCUGCCCCAUUACGGCAAUGAGUAACAAGACUUCUCCAUUAACACUUCAGGCACCAGCAUCCAUUUUCUGGUGGGAUUUCUCCUUGCACAGAACUCCUUCUGUUCAUGUGGAAGUGUUGAAGACCGGAGUUCUAAGAAUACCGAGUGGGAUCUGUGCUCAGUCUUCAUGUGAGGAAGCUUAGUAAUCACAGCUCUAAAGCCUGACAGUCCAGAAAGACAUGAUUGAUGAGAGGCUAUGCAAUGUUGGAGUCAAAAUGCACCAUCAUUAACUACCCAAACCAAGAGAAUGAAACGGGGUUUCCCAGGGGCAGCAGAACACAUUCUUCUCGGAAAUACAGGCCUAACAUUUAGGAUAUGUUUGACCAAAGGCGGCUGGGGGAGUGGAGGGAGCCAUUACUUAAUGGUUCCCAGCUUGCAAAGGUGAAAUGACCCCCACACUAUGUCUCUCUCUCUCUCUCUCUCUCUCUCUCUCUCUCUCUCUCUCUCUCUCACACACACACACACACUUCCAUUUCAGUUCAGGUCCGAUGUAUAUUUCUUGACAUCACACAGUUGUAGGUUAUUUCUUCUCAUAUGCCAUGUACUUCCUGGUCCUGAAAUUUAUUAGCAAGAUUCCCUUACAAUAAAAAUAGAGUUUCACUACCAUUGCUAAUUUCUAAAAUAGACAAUUUAAGCAAGUUAGAAGUGGAUUCAGCAUACUGCUGGUGACUUUAGCUUGUGUAAACAAAGAAAAUACAUCUCGUGGGGGAUAAAAAUGUUUUGUGUGAAAUCACACAUAGGCCUUUUCACAGUCACUAUAAACAAGUUUUUCAUAUUUAUAUCUGUUAGAACUUAGCAUAUAUGUAACACAAAGGACACAGAAUAUUGUCUAAAACACAAAAUAACUCAAAUACUAUAUAUUUGCAAAGUAUUGUAACAUAUAAACUUUAAAAAAAAAAAGGAAGAAAGAAAGAAAAGCUUUCGAUAAAAGCUCAGCUUUCUCUCCUUCCCCGAAACCUACCAGAUUGCUGAGGUCAAGGAAAACAAAGCCAUGAAUGAUUCAGACAAACACCUUUUGAACUUUCCCCAGGAAGACUUGGGUGUGUGAGAGUUCAGGGCUUUCAAGGAGAUGUGUGCAGGUGGCGGUUUCUCCAGACAUCUUGAAACAGUUUCCAUGACUAGCAAGGAGGCCCUGGCAUCAGAGCGUGGCUUGCGUGAGAGUGAGGGAAGGCCAGUAUGGGAAUGACACACGUGUACUACAUCAGGAGUGCUGCCGACCACCUCAAAGGACAGCAGGGCAGAAACUCAUUAUCCUUCUCUCAGAAGCUGACCCAAAAGGUAGAGAAAUCCACCAAAAAUGCAUUAUUAUUAUUAAUUUACUUCAUUCACUGGAACAAUAUCUGUCCUGGUUUAUAUGAUAAACUAUUAAGAAUUAUCAGACAGAAUACAAUAUUUUAUUAUGCAAGAAAUCAGACGCAUGAUGAACUAUUGACUGUGGGUGGAUUUUAUGGCAAACGUUACCUGCAAGAUUUAACAGAUAUCUGUGAAUUGUUAGUAAGUGAAAAUUUUGGUUGAGCCAUUGGAACUACUCUUGCUUAUGGACUAAAUAGUCCGAAGUGAGUUUCUAAGACUUUGUAGUUUGUAAUUUUACAACCACCUUGUUUCUUGCUUCGUGUUAUAUUCUUAGUCCCUGCCCCAUAAUGUUUGUUCUCUGAAGUAUCUUAGGCACCCUUAAAUUUCUUUUUAGAACUAGAAAGAGUUACACAGAGUGUGAAUUUUAUACAGUUAUGGAAAUUUGGAGAUGUUAUCAUUCACUGAUAGGCACAAAUUAUAAGAAAAGCUGAAGUCAUUAGCCAAAUAAAGGAUUAGAGUUAACAAUGGACGUGAACCUAGAGUAUAAUUAAUGAAUUCUCUAAUUGCUCUUCCUGUGUUAGUUCAUUAAGCCUGACUCUCGGCUGGAUAUGCGGGCAUCUGUCUCCAGCAUCUGUCGCCUCAAUGAUGCCGCAGGUUGACUCUAUUGGAGCCCUGUGAAGGAGGCUGCGGCUGCCUUUCUUCCCUCUGCGUUUCACCCAGCAAUCCGAACCUGCAGUUCAAACAAAAACCUUUCUUUCAUACAUUAAUACAACAGGCAGAACCACCCUGAGAGAGGUUUAACCAGCUCAAGACUUACAUGGGAAGACUAGAGACUGAUCAAACUUGACUAAUGUCAGACAGAUCUUUAGCUUGUCAGUGCCUAGCCUUGUGCCAUCUUUAGGAACAGAGCUUACUGACAGGAAAGUGAAUGGGUACAUAUCUGCUCAGACAGAUGGACAUUCCUGGCACCACAGGAAUUUUAUUUGGGGAAUUUUAUUUGGGGAAACAAGAACUUCAAGGUCACUGUGUGGUCUGUACCACAUGACCCUCCCCAACAAGAAGAGUCUAAAUUGUGCUAGAGAUUAAAAGCAUGGAGAAGACAUGUUUAUCUUGGUCCUUUCAUCUGUCUGUCCGUCCUUCCUUCCUUCCUUCCUCCCUCCCUCCCCCCUCUCUCUUUCUUUCUUCCUUUCUUUUCCAGUAGACUUUAGUGGACUCGUGCUCUGGAUAACACAUGUAUACCUGGAGGAGUAGGAAGUCCUAGAGGGCAGAGUCACAGAAAGAAGACACAGGUUUGACUCAAGCAGACACAGCAUCUCCUUCUUAUUCCAUAGGGGUGGACACAUGGAAUUUAGCUGGAUGGAUAAACCACUCUUCUUUCUGUGAUCUGGGAGUCACAACCUCUUCUUCAAGUUGCUAAAGAAGAUAACUUUUUGAGAAUAUCUGAGUGCCUGGUUAAUCCAGAAGACCCCAUGGCAUCCUCUUCUGAGUAAAGUACACUUGAACAGCUUCAUUCACUCGCUCAACACAUCUUUGAAAUGUUCUGUGGGCAUGCCACUAUGAAGAGGGUAAAGUAGAGGACAGGAGAGAGUGGUCCUUGUUGUUCUGGAACUCAACUGAAGGAUGAGGUGAGUUCCACAGUAGCCCCAGCUGAAAGGAUAGUGUCUCCCUGAGGGUGGGGGGAGGGACAGGAACAAGGGGUAUUCUGAUGUAAUCUACUAGACCCUAGAUUGGCAGGAUAGAGCUGAGACUUAGAAGAGUGGCGAAGAACCUGGGGUUUAUAGAACAAAAAAACCCAGGGAGGAGAGAAGUCCUGUAGGGGAUGCGGAAGUCAGCCUUACAAAGAAAAAACUGUGGGAUGGAGAGCAAGGUGCCACAGCCUCCUGCUACUCCUCGAAGAGUCCUGAUCUGCCCUAGGUGGCAUUAGAUCUAAGAUGGCUCCCAGAACACUGGUGAGACAACAUAAAGGAACUGAGGCACAGGGUGGUGGCUGCUUCCCCCAUCUUCAUGGAACAUGAAGACAGAUGACAAUGCUCUCUAUCCCUUGCUCCUUAUGAGUUACCUCAUCAGGCAGGGUUUCCAUUGGGGCACGAUGAAGGUGUGGUGAGAUACAAUUGGCGGAGCACGUAGGGGCCUGGGAUUGGCUCAAACAUUGUAUAUAAGCUUAUGUGCUGGGCAAUAAACUCAGAUCUGCACCUG